UAGUUUGACUCUCAAGGAAUUUGGAACCCACUCUUUUUAGGGUAGGUAAGGAUGAUAAAAUAUUCAGCAUUUCACUUGUAUCCAUCCAUGCUUAAUAAAGAAAUCAUUAGAGGUCAAUUCCUUCAAACGUAGCAAUUGAAACACUCAUUUAAAUUUCAGAAUCUGAAUCAGUGGAAAAGUGGCAGCGGCGCCUCAACCCUUGAUCUUUUUCAUCAAAAAGCCCUUGCGUGCUUUUAAAAAUACCUUCCUUGUCCUUUAUCUGGUCUUUCUCAAGUUAUUAAUUAUUAUUAUUAUAAAUAGAGAGAGAGAGAGAGA
rnacentral:misc_RNA from 1 species